GAACAUGGAACAGACACAGCAGCAACCAAAGCGGUCCAGUGUUUCCAGGUGUUCAACCAUGACACUUGGCCAGAGACAGUGGAGGAGUUGGUUGAUUAAGGAGCUGUGGAGGUCCACUUCUUGUUGGACCAUUUUCAGGUUGUACUGGAAAGGAAUGGCUGUGACUGUGCCCUGGGUGAGGAGGAGUUCCAGGCUUUGAAAACCCUGGUGUUCAGGUCCUUCAAAGACAAGAGCUACAAGGAGUUAUGGGAAAUUAUUCUGACGAAGGAACCCUAUUGCCCGGAUUUAAAGAACAUCCUGGUAAGGAUCAUGUUGGUCCUUCCUGUGUCCUCGGCGCAGUGUGAGAGGGGGUUCUCCACACAGAAGUGCAUCAAGUCGGACAUCGGAUCUGCAUUAAACCCCAACACAGUCGAAGAUCUGAUUUGAAUCAGUGUAGAUGGUCCUCCUCUGGAGACGUUCGAUGCCUCGGUCUCAGUGAAGAGAUGGAUGGAAGAGGGACAGAGAGCCAGAAGACCAAAUUUUAAAUCCUGGCCCCAGGAUAUUGCGUAAAGCCCCAGUG